rnacentral:rRNA from 1 species
UACGGGGGGGGCAAGCGUUGUUCGGAAUUACUGGGCGUAAAGGGCUCGUAGGCGGCCAACUAAGUCAGACGUGAAAUCCCUCGGCUUAACCGGGGAACUGCGUCCGAUACUGGAUGGCUGGAGGUUGGGAGAGGGAUGCGGAAUUCCAGGUGUAGCGGUGAAAUGCGUAGAUAUCUGGAGGAACACCGGUGGCGAAGGCGGCAUCCUGGACCAAUUCUGACGCUGAGGAGCGAAAGCCAGGGGAGCAAACGGG